rnacentral:rRNA from 1 species
UUAAGCGACUAAGCGUACACGGUGGAUGCCCUGGCAGUCAGAGGCGAUGAAGGACGUGCUAAUCUGCGAAAAGCGUCGGUAAGGUGAUAUGAACCGUUAUAACCGGCGAUGUCCGAAUGGGGAAACCCAGUGCAAUUCGUUGCACUAUCGUUAACUGAAUACAUAGGUUAACGAGGCGAACCGGGGGAACUGAAACAUCUAAGUACCCCGAGGAAAAGAAAUCAACCGAGAUUCCCCCAGUAGCGGCGAGCGAACGGGGAGCAGCCCAGAGUCUGAAUCAGCUUGUGUGUUAGUGGAACGGUCUGGAAAGUCCGACGGUACAGGGUGAUAGUCCCGUACACCAAAAUGCACAGGUUGUGAACUCGAAGAGUAGGGCGGGACACGUGGUAUCCUGUCUGAAUAUGGGGGGACCAUCCUCCAAGGCUAAAUACUCCUGACUGACCGAUAGUGAACCAGUACCGUGAGGGAAAGGCGAAAAGAACCCCGGCGAGGGGAGUGAAAAAGAACCUGAAACCGUGUACGUACAAGCAGUGGGAGCACCUUCGGGUGUGACUGCGUACCUUUUGUAUAAUGGGUCAGCGACUUAUAUUCUGUAGCAAGGUUAACCGUAUAGGGGAGCCGCAGGGAAACCGAGUCUUAACUGGGCGUUAAGUUGCAGGGUAUAGACCCGAAACCCGGUGAUCUAGCCAUGGGCAGGUUGAAGGUUGGGUAACACUAACUGGAGGACCGAACCGACUAAUGUUGAAAAAUUAGCGGAUGACUUGUGGCUGGGGGUGAAAGGCCAAUCAAACCGGGAGAUAGCUGGUUCUCCCCGAAAGCUAUUUAGGUAGCGCCUCGUGAAUUCAUCUUCGGGGGUAGAGCACUGUUUCGGCUAGGGGGUCAUCCCGACUUACCAACCCGAUGCAAACUACGAAUACCGAAGAAUGUUAUCACGGGAGACACACGGCGGGUGCUAACGUCCGUCGUGAAGAGGGAAACAACCCAGACCGCCAGCUAAGGUCCCAAAGUCAUGGUUAAGUGGGAAACGAUGUGGGAAGGCACAGACAGCCAGGAUGUUGGCUUAGAAGCAGCCAUCAUUUAAAGAAAGCGUAAUAGCUCACUGGUCGAGUCGGCCUGCGCGGAAGAUGUAACGGGGCUAAACCAUGCACCGAAGCUGCGGCAGCGACACUAUGUGUUGUUGGGUAGGGGAGCGUUCUGUAAGCCUGCGAAGGUGACCUGUGAGGGUUGCUGGAGGUAUCAGAAGUGCGAAUGCUGACAUAAGUAACGAUAAAGCGGGUGAAAAGCCCGCUCGCCGGAAGACCAAGGGUUCCUGUCCAACGUUAAUCGGGGCAGGGUGAGUCGACCCCUAAGGCGAGGCCGAAAGGCGUAGUCGAUGGGAAACAGGUUAAUAUUCCUGUACUUGGUGUUACUGCGAAGGGGGGACGGAGAAGGCUAUGUUAGCCGGGCGACGGUUGUCCCGGUUUAAGCAUGUAGGCUGGUUGUCCAGGCAAAUCCGGAUAAUCAAGGCUGAGGUGUGAUGACGAGGCACUACGGUGCUGAAGUAACAAAUGCCCUGCUUCCAGGAAAAGCCUCUAAGCAUCAGGUAACAUCAAAUCGUACCCCAAACCGACACAGGUGGUCAGGUAGAGAAUACCAAGGCGCUUGAGAGAACUCGGGUGAAGGAACUAGGCAAAAUGGUGCCGUAACUUCGGGAGAAGGCACGCUGGUGUGUAGGUGAAGUCCCUGCGGAUGGAGCUGAGACCAGUCGAAGAUACCAGCUGGCUGCAACUGUUUAUUAAAAACACAGCACUGUGCAAACACGAAAGUGGACGUAUACGGUGUGACGCCUGCCCGGUGCCGGAAGGUUAAUUGAUGGGGUUAUCCGUAAGGAGAAGCUCUUGAUCGAAGCCCCGGUAAACGGCGGCCGUAACUAUAACGGUCCUAAGGUAGCGAAAUUCCUUGUCGGGUAAGUUCCGACCUGCACGAAUGGCGUAAUGAUGGCCAGGCUGUCUCCACCCGAGACUCAGUGAAAUUGAACUCGCUGUGAAGAUGCAGUGUACCCGCGGCAAGACGGAAAGACCCCGUGAACCUUUACUAUAGCUUGACACUGAACAUUGAGCCUUGAUGUGUAGGAUAGGUGGGAGGCUUUGAAGCGUGGACGCCAGUCUGCGUGGAGCCAACCUUGAAAUACCACCCUUUAAUGUUUGAUGUUCUAACGUUGGCCCCUGACCGGGGUUGCGGACAGUGUCUGGUGGGUAGUUUGACUGGGGCGGUCUCCUCCCAAAGCGUAACGGAGGAGCACGAAGGUUAGCUAAUCCUGGUCGGACAUCAGGAGGUUAGUGCAAUGGCAUAAGCUAGCUUGACUGCGAGCGUGACGGCGCGAGCAGGUGCGAAAGCAGGUCAUAGUGAUCCGGUGGUUCUGAAUGGAAGGGCCAUCGCUCAACGGAUAAAAGGUACUCCGGGGAUAACAGGCUGAUACCGCCCAAGAGUUCAUAUCGACGGCGGUGUUUGGCACCUCGAUGUCGGCUCAUCACAUCCUGGGGCUGAAGUAGGUCCCAAGGGUAUGGCUGUUCGCCAUUUAAAGUGGUACGCGAGCUGGGUUUAGAACGUCGUGAGACAGUUCGGUCCCUAUCUGCCGUGGGCGCUGGAGAAUUGAGGGGGGCUGCUCCUAGUACGAGAGGACCGGAGUGGACGCAUCACUGGUGUUCGGGUUGUCAUGCCAAUG